rnacentral:misc_RNA from 1 species
GAUGAAGAACGUAGUGAAAUGCGAUAAGUAGUGUGAAUUGCAGAAUUCAGUGAAUCAUCGAAUCUUUGAACGCACCUUGCGCCCUUUGGCUAUUCCGAAGGGCAUGCCUGUUUGAGUAUCAUGAACACCUCAACUCUCAUGGUUUUUCCAUGAUGGGCUUGGACUUUGGGGGUCUUGCCGGCCUAUGGUCAGCUCCUCUUAAAUGAAUCAGCUUGCCAGUGUUUGGUGUGGCAUCACAGGUGUGAUAACUAUCUACGCUUGUGGUUUUCCAUCAAGUAACCUUCAGUGAUGGAGGUUCGCUGGGGCUCAUAAAGGCCUCUCCUCGGUGAGGAUGGCUCCUUUGAACGUUUGAUCUCAAAUCAGGUAGGACUACCCGCUGAACUUAAGCAUAUCAAUAAGCGGAGGA